UAAAUCUUAUUGAUUGAUAUUUUAUAGCAUAAAAAUCCCUGGGUUUAUUGCGUAUGAAAGGCCCGACGGGGAAACCACGUGUCUUUACGAACAUACUAGUCGUCUACUGUUUGGGAAUACAGAGAAGAAAUUUAUACUGCGGUUGGCUGCAAUAAGAUACGCUCUACAAAAUUGUUUAAAAUAUGUUCAACAGCUGGCAGAUGCAUUUGUAAACUCCAAAUCCAAGACUGAUGCCGCAACCGCAUUCUUUCGAAUACAUUGUAUCGAUUUUAAAAGGACAAAGAAAUCGCCAAUAAUAAAAGAUGUUGGGUUGGCAUUUGUUGAUCUUUUGCGAGAAACGGUCAACACAGGACAAGGUCCGUUUUAUGCUGAGUUUUUAGGAGGUGCAUUAAAUUGCAAAAUAACACAACACUUUGAGAACGAUCGCUUUUACGAGUGGAACAUUUGCGCGGUACCAGGCCUCAAUGUUUCCUUGGUAACCAACACACCGCCUGACAGAGAACUGCAUAUCUACUGGAUGAAGACUAGCCGGGGUUUAUCAUACACAUAUCAACUAGUUUCUCUUGUAAAAAAACGUGGACGCAGUGUCAUCUUGAUUAAUUGAGUGGUACAAUAGACUCAUCAUAAGAUUUGCAACAGCAAUAACUAGCUCGGAGAGUUUUGUUUCAAUUCUUGCGCUUGUUGAAGUAUGCUUUAUCUGAUAUUGACAUCGCUUCAUUUGGAUAAAGAGUAAUAUCUUAUUGCACUUUAUGUAUUGCGAUACACAAAUGUAUCACAGCAACUAUAAGCCACUUAACUAAUAUUCCAAUCAAUUCGAGCGCAUUUAGCUUUGCUUUUUAAUACACAUGAUAGUUGUGAUAGUUUGGUUUGCCUUUGGUUAAAUGACUGUUACCUUACUUUAAAAACUUACACAUGUAUAUAAUUAUAUGCGGUCCCAUUAUGUUUAGAAUUAUGUUAAAUACCAUUCAUAUUGUUAUUUUUUUACUAUGCAUGUUUGUUUGCCUUUUGAUAUGCUUUUGUUUUUUAAACAAAUCAAGUAUACUUAACUGUAUAUCGUCAAGAUUUUCAAAACCAUUUUAAAGGGGCCUUUUCACAGUUUUGGCAUGUAUUGAAGAUUAUCAUUUAAUGCUUUAUAUUGAUAAAUAGAAACAUUGGAUCUAAAAGGCUUUAGUAAAGAAUAAGAAUACAAUUAAAGAAAGAAAAAAAAAAUCAACUGGGCUCGAACCACUGACCCCUGGAGUAAAUGUCUAUGGCUUAGACCACUCGGCCAUCAGGGAUCUUACUAUGAUGUGUGUAUUUUAUACAUCAUAUAAGCAAUCCUUGUAGUGUCACAAAAUUUAACAAUUGCAAAACUGUCCAAAUUA